UAACAUUAGAUGCAUAAUAGGAUUAGGUUCACCUCAAUAGUACUGCAGUAUUUAUUUACACCAGAUCCAGUUAUUCGUUGAUGAAAACAAAACUUUCUAAAACUCAAACUUUCUCAAAACUAUCUGUGUUUAUAUUUCCAGAACCAGGUCUUCCUCCAGCUGUUGUAGCAGGAAUAUGUGCUCUUAUUCUGCUUCUUGCUGCAGCAGCUUCUGUGAUUUACUAUUUAAAACCCCAAAAAAAUAAGAAAAGCCAUCAGACGGAGGACUGAGCACAGUGAUAACGGUUCACCCACCAGCACAAACACAGAAUCCAGUGAUGUGGAUGAAGGUCAAUCAUGAUGAAGACUCAUCCUCUACUCAUACUGAGGUGGACGCUAACAAUAGGAUGUCCAAUGACCAACUGAUGAACACCAGUGAGACGUCCCAUAAUCAGACUGAGGCAUACUGAUGAACACUAAACGUGGGACAUCCCUUAAUCAGACUGAGGCAUAUUGAUGAACAAUAAACAUGGGACAUCCCAUAAUCAGACUGAGGCAUAUUGAUGAACACUAAACGUGGGACAUCCCAUAAUCAGACUGAGGCAUAUUGAUGAACACUAAACGUGGGACAUCCCAUAAUCAGACUGAGACAUUGAUGAACUCUAAACGUGGGACAUCCCAUAAUCAGACUGAGACAUAUUGAUGAACACUAAACGUGGGACAUCCCAUAAUCAGACUGAGGCAUAUUGAUGAACACUAAACGUGGGACAUCCCAUAAUCAGACUGAGGCAUAUUGAUGAACACUAAACGUGGGACAUCCCAUAAUCAGACUGAGACAUUGAUGAACUCUAAACGUGGGACAUCCCAUAAUCAGACUGAGACAUAUUGAUGAACACCAAACAUGGGAAGUCCCAUAAUCAGUGUAAGGUUGUUACUUUUAGACUUUGAAGUUAAACAUGAGAACAUAAAGGGAACAUGAGAAGAGCACCAGCUGAAGCUUAGAGAAACACAGAUUAUAGUGGAAUUGUUUUCUUAAAGAUGCACUUUGAAACACUUUUUCAUGUCAAUUAAUGUCAAAAGGAUUUAGCAUUUUGUUAUUAUUUAAUUGACCCAGCAUUAACUUGUGUCUGUUGACUAUCUGCAUAUGCGUGUGAGAAUGAGUGUGAGUGUAAAACAGUGAGCAUGGCUGUUUGUGGUCCUGCUGACAUUUAGAGGUUUACGUUUAGCUGUUGAGACCAUGUAGAAUCGUCAUGAUGUUCUUAUGCUGGCUCCACACCAAACGCUGAGCUCUGCGUCACUUGCUCUUGUUCACUUACAAGAUGUUUUUUCUCUUUUUAGCUGAUUAAAUCUAAAAUAUUAUGUCAAGGUGCAAACAUUUAGACUUUUAAACACCACAAAUGACUGAAAACUUUGGUGGAUAUUCUGAUUCUUACUAUCUGUUGUCAUUUCCUCUAUUUUCUCCCAGCAUUAGUAUUUAUUUUCAGCUCUAGGUCUUUUAUUUUGCGCAAUAAUCUGUCAACUGAAAAAGUUUAAAGUCAUCCUGCUUUGCCUUUUUUUUGUGUAAUGUCAGCAAUAACAACAAUAAUAUUAAUCCAUAAAAAUGAUUAGAAUAAUCAAGCAACACAGUUAAUUUUGUUUCUAAUCAAAACUAAGAAUAAUAAAGAAUAUGGGUUGG